GCAUGUAAGGUCGAUCUGGCUGUGAGAUGUCAACCUACUGAUCGCCAUGGGCCAUUCAGCUGGCCUGAUGUCCCCUUCCUCCCUUAUUCUGUCCCCCAUGAAGCAGCCCACUUGGUGGAGGAGGACGACCUUCCCCCAUGGAUAAGGAAGGGUGGUCCCUCGGGCAACAGUAGAGGAGGGCUCCUUCCUCUCCUGCUAGACCCCAAGCUAGAUCUCAAGAAAGGCUUAGCCUUGAUCU
rnacentral:sRNA from 1 species